GGCAUCUGAGAUAACUCAAUUGGUAAAGCAUGAGACUCUUAAUAUCAAGGUCAUGGGUUAAAGUCCCAUGUUGGGCCA